CCAACUACACAAGUGCCCUGAGACCUGUGGCAGACACAGACCAGACUCUGAAUGUGACCCUGGAGGUGACACUGUCCCAGAUCAUCGACAUGGUGCGUUGUGGUGGUGGUACAGCUGUGGAGUCUUACCUGUCACAGUGUCAAGAAAUGAAGGGGAUGAACGGAACCAGGUGCUGACCCUGUAUCUGUGGAUACGGCAGGAGUGGACAGAUGCCUACCUACGAUGGGACCCCAAUGCCUAUGGUGGCCUGGAUGCCAUCCGCAUCCCCAGCAGUCUUGUGUGGCGGCCAGACAUCGUACUCUAUAACAAGUACUGCCUAUCUGGGCCCCUCCUCUCUCUUACCCCUCUCUAGACUUGCCCUUAGCUGUGGGGGUGUAGUGAUCCCCUCUCCCUACCACAUAACCUGGUUGCCACGCUGCCCUGGAAGCUUUUCCCCAGGACCCUUCUAAGCUGCCAGGCACUCAGCCCCUCCAUGGCACCCCCACUUUAGGCUAUCCCAGGCCAGCCCAGGCUGAACGUCUCCUCGGAACCUACUGUGUGGUCCAGGGCAGUUGUCUGAAUCACAAGGGCCUCUCUAGGGCACACUUUUAGCUCUAAGUCUCUCAGGGCUCCCCGAAGAGCCUGUGUAAGGGUCUCUUUCCUCCAGGACAUAGCCCUCUGGAACACUGCUUUAUGUCUCCUUGACCAGUUCCGUGUCUCCCAGCCAGCACAUAGCUCUGCAUAUUUUCUCUGGGGCCCUUCUACAAGUUUUGCAGAUGUCCCCCAAGGGAAGUCACUGUGUGUCCCGGAGCUACCUCUGGGUUCUGCAGAGGCCUUUUUAUACAUCCUCUGGCUACGUCUGUGUCCCUUCUGGGCCCUUCAGGCACCACCCCUUCCAGGCCUCGAAAGGCAGCGGGUCUCUCUAGGUGCACUCCACCCUCUGUGUUGCUUUGUUCUGAAAACAAGAAUCAAAUUAACGAAAAAAAAACAAGCACAAGUUUAUUUAUUUAUUUGAGACACAGUCUC
rnacentral:lncRNA from 10 species